UUUUCUCCCACUCCCACCCCCACAUCUCUCAGCCGACAUUUAUCCCCCUCUCUCUCUCUUUCUCCCUUUCUCUCUCUCUCUCUCUCUCUCUCUCUCUCUCUCUCUCUCUCUCUCUCUCUCUCUCUCUCUCUUCAUCUCUCUCUAACUCUCGCUCUACCCACUGUCCACUGCCGCCGCCGCUGUUCCCUCACCUCGUUGCGCCGCCUCCCCCACCUCGUUGCGCCGCCGUCGCCGCUCCCCUACCUCGCUGCGCCGUUGUUGCCGCUCCACUACCUCGCAGCGCCGCCGUCGCCACUCCCCUACCUCGCAGCGCCGCCGCCGCUCCUGUACAAAAAAAUAUUGAUACCAAUUAUUGCUGCUUCCAUUGUUCUUGGCGAACUUGUUUUUUCCUUCUUCUAAAUUUACUAUUACCGCAAAUACACUCUCAAAUCCAACCACAAAGAUCAACACAUGUCACUUUCUUCUUUUUUAUUAUUCAUUAUUCUCCUCAGAUCAGAUCCUCACAUUAUUAUCAUUUUGAUUUAAUUAAUUAGCUGUCUCAUUAUUAGAUCUACUAUUAUUUUUAAAAUUAGAUCUACUAUUUUUUAAGAUUUGUGAAUAAUUAAUAUUAAAAUAUUUUUCUUUGGAUUAAUUUGAUUUUUUAUUUCGUUUGAUUCUUAUGUUGUUUAUUUUUGUUAUAAAUGAUUUUUGUUAUAAAUAUUUUUUAUUUCGGUAGGGUUAAUAU
rnacentral:lncRNA from 1 species